GCCUAUAGCCAUGCUACUCUGAACAAGCCCAAUCCCGUCUGAUCUCAGAAACUAAGCAGAUUUGGGCCUGGUUAGUACUUGGAUGGGAGACCUAGGAAGACCAGGUGCUGUAGGUG
rnacentral:rRNA from 1 species